AACUACUCCCAUCACCACAACUACUCCCAUCACCACAAGCACUCCUACAACUACUCCCAUCACCACAACUAUUCCCACAACUACUCCCAUCACUACAACUAUUCCCACAACUACUCCCAUCACCACAACUACCCCUCCAACUAAUAUCACCAGCACAAUUGUUUCAACUCCAGGACAAACAACUCAAGGGUCGUUCUCACGGGCAUUCGUACAGGUCAAGCUGCAAUCCCGUGUUGAGGUCAGCAGCGCAACUAUCAGUGAAGUUAUACAACAGUUUUUUUCAAGACCAGGUCGGCAACGGACAAGUCCAAAUCAGAGUGAUCAACAUUACAAGGACGCAAAUUGCCCCGUAGCAUUCCAGCUUCUUCAAGUGUCACACUGGUAUCAGGACAGGUAGCUGUCAGUCGGCUGUCAGACUGAUGACACUGCUUUAACGCACAAGGAAGAGGCGACAGAUGUCCAACAAACUUAAGGAACCUCUUUUUUUCCAAUUAUGUGUGCCUUCUGAAACAGAGGGAGGGACUGCUGUGUAAAAUAUGGUUGUAAUUACUAAAUAGUUAAUGUGAUGUUUUUGUUAAAGCUGAAACUCCACACUACAGAUGUAGAAUUACAAUAAUUUCAUGAUAGAGAUCGA